rnacentral:rRNA from 1 species
AGAGUUUGAUCAUGGCUCAGAUUGAACGCUGGCGGCAGGCCUAACACAUGCAAGUCGAACGGUAACAGAAAGAAGCUUGCUUCUUUGCUGACGAGUGGCGGACGGGUGAGUAAUGUCUGGGAAACUGCCUGAUGGAGGGGGAUAACUACUGGAAACGGUAGCUAAUACCGCAUAACGUCGCAAGACCAAAGAGGGGGACCUUCGGGCCUCUUGCCAUCGGAUGUGCCCAGAUGGGAUUAGCUUGUUGGUGGGGUAACGGCUCACCAAGGCGACGAUCCCUAGCUGGUCUGAGAGGAUGACCAGCCACACUGGAACUGAGACACGGUCCAGACUCCUACGGGAGGCAGCAGUGGGGAAUAUUGCACAAUGGGCGCAAGCCUGAUGCAGCCAUGCCGCGUGUAUGAAGAAGGCCUUCGGGUUGUAAAGUACUUUCAGCGGGGAGGAAGGGAGUAAAGUUAAUACCUUUGCUCAUUGACGUUACCCGCAGAAGAAGCACCGGCUAACUCCGUGCCAGCAGCCGCGGUAAUACGGAGGGUGCAAGCGUUAAUCGGAAUUACUGGGCGUAAAGCGCACGCAGGCGGUUUGUUAAGUCAGAUGUGAAAUCCCCGGGCUCAACCUGGGAACUGCAUCUGAUACUGGCAAGCUUGAGUCUCGUAGAGGGGGUAGAAUUCCAGGUGUAGCGGUGAAAUGCGUAGAGAUCUGGAGGAAUACCGGUGGCGAAGGCGGCCCCCUGGACGAAGACUGACGCUCAGGUGCGAAAGCGUGGGGAGCAAACAGGAUUAGAUACCCUGGUAGUCCACGCCGUAAACGAUGUCGACUUGGAGGUUGUGCCCUUGAGGCGUGGCUUCCGGAGCUAACGCGUUAAGUCGACCGCCUGGGGAGUACGGCCGCAAGGUUAAAACUCAAAUGAAUUGACGGGGGCCCGCACAAGCGGUGGAGCAUGUGGUUUAAUUCGAUGCAACGCGAAGAACCUUACCUGGUCUUGACAUCCACGGAAGUUUUCAGAGAUGAGAAUGUGCCUUCGGGAACCGUGAGACAGGUGCUGCAUGGCUGUCGUCAGCUCGUGUUGUGAAAUGUUGGGUUAAGUCCCGCAACGAGCGCAACCCUUAUCCUUUGUUGCCAGCGGUCCGGCCGGGAACUCAAAGGAGACUGCCAGUGAUAAACUGGAGGAAGGUGGGGAUGACGUCAAGUCAUCAUGGCCCUUACGACCAGGGCUACACACGUGCUACAAUGGCGCAUACAAAGAGAAGCGACCUCGCGAGAGCAAGCGGACCUCAUAAAGUGCGUCGUAGUCCGGAUUGGAGUCUGCAACUCGACUCCAUGAAGUCGGAAUCGCUAGUAAUCGUGGAUCAGAAUGCCACGGUGAAUACGUUCCCGGGCCUUGUACACACCGCCCGUCACACCAUGGGAGUGGGUUGCAAAAGAAGUAGGUAGCUUAACCUUCGGGAGGGCGCUUACCACUUUGUGAUUCAUGACUGGGGUGAAGUCGUAACAAGGUAACCGUAGGGGAACCUGCGGUUGGAUCACCU